UCAGAGUGAAAGAUCAAAGCGUUGGCCAUAUCUCAGAACAUAAGUUCACAGUGUUGUAUUGACGGAUUGAAAAGAUGGUUUCCCGAGUAGAAAGGACUAACCUUUUUAUACAUGCAGAUACACAGCCUUGCAGGAUUGAAGCUUGCAUUGAAGAUAGAUCAUGGGUGAUGGAUUAAUGGAGGGUUUUAAGAAGAUGAAUCUGUAACAGGUAUCCUUUCAGAUUGUAAGAAAGAAGAUUAACAAUCGCGUUUGAAAUCCUAGGGUAAGAGACGCACUCUGUUUCUUCGGCCCCCAUCCCACACAAAUUGCUUAACAACUAAAGAGCCCAUCACCUCGUGUAUCCACAACAAAUAAAACCCACAAUACCACCGAAUAAAUGAAACGGUGAGUUUCAAAGUGUCAAACAUACGUGAACCGAAUUUCUGACAUGGAUGAUGACGUGUCUCUCUAAGGAGAGAGCAAACUAUACUUUAUAUAAUUGGAUAGUAUAGAUUCCAAUAGAAGUGUGAAUUAAUUGUCUUGGGCCUGGUUUUCAUAAUUUAUUAAAAGUGGCCGACAAAAGACAAAAACACAAGAAGACAUUCCUAGUUUUAUCGAGAUCAAAUUUGGGGCUCUUUCUCUCAUCAGCGGCCGCCACACAGACAAUCUGAUAAUCUCGAACCCUAAUCUGGUUUCAAGUCUCGAACGAAGCACCAUGUCUGAACCAGUAAAAAGCAUCGGUAAGUCUUGUCCCUCUGUUGUUCUGAGAUUGUUUAUAUAUAUCGUAGGUUUAGAGUUUUUGUUCAACCUCGAAUUUUGUAUCGACCAUUCACAGAUCCAGGUUACACAGGGGUGUUCUGGGACUAUGAUGAUUUACCCAUAGCUGGUAGUUUCAAUCCUUUUGAUGUUCAUCUUAAUAUAAAAGCUUCUCUUGCCAAGAAGAAUCUGUGUGGAUUUUUUGAACUGAGUUUCUACUGUGACAAGGAAUUACCAGUCCCAGAUUACUUGGUGCAAUCUUACCGUAAAGCCAGGCUUUGCUUCGUUCCUGAUGGUAAUAAAUAUUCUCUCCUUUUUUUUUUUUUUUUUUUUUUUUUUUUUUCUCAAUUCCAGUGAUUUUAUACUUUUUCCUUAUUACAACAGUGAGCAAAUCUUUGAGAGCAAAAAUUAUGAUAAGAGACAUUCUUCUUUACGCAUGGGACAACAAUCCUUGUUUUAAUGAUGGUCAACCAGCUAACUUGGUGAUCGUCUCCAACACCAUCUCACAAGAUCCCGACAUGAUCAGCGUUCUUCAAGCUUUGAACCAGAGAAACUUCUCCGUUCUCUUAGUACGCUCGGACGAGCUCAAGCAUAAGGCCGUUGAUCCAGGAGACAUUGCCACUGAAAAUUUGGACUGGCUUUGGCAAAGCAUCAUGUUUGGUGAUAAACCUUUCAUCGACCCAAGCGAAACCCGUGCUGGUUCUCUCCUUUGCAGCGGAUGCCAUGAAGAAGUUUCAAUCACUGAAGAUGAAGAUGGAGAUGGAGAUGGAGAUGGAGAACAGACAGAAGAUGCUGUCGUUAAGUUGUAAGCUCAGAGACAGAAGAUGAAGCUGUUGGGCAACAAUUUUUUUGAAGAAGUGUUGUACAACGUUUAAAAUUUUUAAAAUUCAUUAUUCUUAUUGGUUUUAUUAUAUUAUUUGAUGUAUAUAAAAUAUGUUUAUAGAAUUUAAAUGUGGUUUUAGAUAUAAUUUUACUAAAUUUUAUCAAAAUAUAUUAACUGUUAAGAAGAUAUAAAAAUAAUUCCAUUAUGAAUAUAAAAAAUAAUAUAAUGUUUAUUUUUAGUAUAUAAAAUUUAUAUAUAUAUGUAUAAUAUUAAUUUAUAAUUUUAAUGAGACUAUAUGCUUACAUAGAAUUUUCUUAAAAAUAAUUAUCUUAUUAUCUUAUCGAUUUGUGUCAUAUUUGAACUAGCCUAACUUUGAACCGAAGAAAUUUAUUAAUUUAUGAUGUUUAUUAAUUUAUCGAGUUUCUACAGAUUUUUUUUUAUAAAAAACAUAUAUGGUCACAAAUUAAUUUGAUUAUUAACAUAAUUCACACACACACACAUAUAUAUAUAUAUAUUUGAACCCUAAGAAUAUAACAAUUAAUAUUUUACUUGAAGUGCAAUUUAUUUGGUAUAAAAACUCAAGACAUAUUUAUCUAUCUUAUUAAAACAGAAGUACACUUUAUUUGACAUAAAUCAUUUUUUUUGGAAAGAUAAAUUUAUUAAUAUACAUAAACCUAUUAUUUGGUGUUUUAAUUUAUAAAUGGAUACAUCAAAAAUAAUUAAUGUAGUUAAAAUUAUUAAUUGAUGAAUAUGUUAUAUAUCAUAUCAUAUUGAUUGGUUUGAUAUGAAACCAUAAUAUGAGCAACUAAUAAAUUAUAGAUAAUUAAAAACCAUCAAAUAACUCUUCUUACAUAUUAAUAAAUAUUAAUUAAUUAACCAUAGAUCAUUUAUUUUGUUAGAUUAUUCUCUAACCAAAAUUACUAUUAUAUUCUAACCCAAUUAUUCUUUAACAAAUUUUUGUAAUAAAUGUUACAUAUUAUAAAUUGAAUAAAUAUUUAAACGGAUGUAUGUUUCUAAAACCAUUACAUUUUUGUGUUGUGAAAAUUUAAAUAUGCAAAUACUAUUAAAUUUUUUAAAACUUAAUCUAUAGUGUAAUGUUAAUAUUUUUUAUUGCUUGGUUUUCAUAUUCGAUUGAAAUCUGCGCUUAACCCAGGUGUAGCCUUACGAAAACUGAAAAAAAAGAAAAAAAAAUAAAACAGUGUCUUUCAUGCAUGCAUGCAGGAAUCCGGACAUGGAGUUUUCCGUGAACAAAUUUUUUUUUCUUUAAAUGGAAAUAGGAAUAAAUGUUUAAAAAGGCAAUUUGUCUGAUCUUUUUACGUAAAAAAGUAAAAUUCUGCAGUGAGAGAAAACGUCCUUCUUCUUUUUAAGACAGAAAGCGUCCUUAUCUAUUCAUGAUGCCACAAUUUGAUCGAUCCGUACUUUUUUGAUUUCAGUACGAGUCAGUUGAUUGGUCAUUUGGUCUAGUGUCAUUUUCAUGUCCCCAAAUCUCUUAGUAUAAAUAUUAAGUUCCAUGAAAAUCAGUGGUAAAAUAGAGAAAAUUUGGAUAAAUACACUGAAAUAAGAUUUAAUUUGAAGACUACAAUAUUAUUUAAGUUUUUAGAAAAAUACACUUUGAUAUAUAUAAAUUUACAAAAUUGUCCAAUCUCAAUAUUCUUAAUUAUUUAUCAUAAUUUAUUUUAUACUAGUAACGAUUUUAACAAAAUAAGUUUUUUUUUUUAAAAAAAAAAUCUUUAAAGUAUCUACACCAGUUUUUUUAAUAUUAAACUUUUUAUGUUUUUGAAACAAAAAAAAAAGAAAAUAAAACCAUCGAGACGACGUCUCAUUUUCUCCUUCUCCGAUUCUUUAUUUCAGAAAAACUUUUUUUCUUUCUAGUUUCACAUUAUUAUUUUCCAUUUUCUUGGUAACUGUUUUAGUUUUUAUUUUGCAAUAAAGUUGAUUACUUGUGAAUGGGAAUCAAUUGGUCUCUGUUNNNNNNNNNNNNNNNNNNNNNNNNNNNNNNNNNNNNNNNNNNNNNNNNNNNNNNNNNNNNNNNNNNNNNNNNNNNNNNNNNNNNNNNNNNNNNNNNNNNNUGUUGCUUAUUUUGUUAUAGGUUACUUUUCAAUAGGUCUGUUGUUGGACUAUGCAAGUAUAAUAUAUAUAUGUUUUAGUUUCAUUUUUGUAUGAAAUUAUGGUUUAUUUUAGUAUUUUGUAAAAAUGUCACAGUUAAUUAAAUAGAUUAACCCUACAUUUUGUGUUCACAAUACUUAUCUUACCCUUAAAACCACUUUGAUGUAAUUUUUAAAAAAGUUUAAUUCAUUGUCAAUUAUGUGACAUUAAUUUCACUAUUUUUAUAACAACUUUCACUAUUUAUUUUAUCAUUGUUUCUGUAAUUUAUAUACAAUAGAAAUUUAUUUUGAUAUAUACCUUUUGUAAAACCUAAUAUCAAUUGUUACUACUUAAAAAUAUAGGUAUUUAUUUGAAUAUUGUAUAUGCUAUUAUAUUUGGACACCAAACAAAACCAUGUUAUCUAAAUAACUAAUUAUAAUUUUUAAUAUAAGAUUUAUAGAUUAAUUUUCGGUAUAAGAAUUUACAUUGACUUUAUUUUAUAAGUUAUUUCUUAUUAUCAUAGUAACAAUUUUACUAUAUUUUGUUAUUGAAUUUAAUAAGUUAUAUUUAAAUUUGUUACAAUUUAUUAUUUGCAUGCAUAUUAAACUUAUUUGCUCUUUGUACGCAUGCAAGAUGACCUAUCAAAGAAGGAUGUCCACAUGUAUGUCCGUCAAAAAUGUACUAUUUUAUUAAUUUAAGUUGUGGGUUUUGAUCAAAAAAAAAAUUGUGGGUUAAUUUGUCUGUAAGUUUCUUUUUUUUUUGGAGAGAUUUUUUCUUAGAGAAAAAUUCAUAAAAUACCCAACUAAAUUAUAUUAAUCUUUUUAAUAUCCAAACUUUUAUUUACCUAAUUUAAUACACUAACUAAUUAUUUUUCUCGUUUUAAUUCAUAAAUUUUUAAUUUUGUGAAAAUUCUAAUACCCAAAGGUGUAUUUAUAUUAAUCAAAAUAUUUAAUAAAUGACAAAUGAAUUUAGAAAAAUCUAAAAAACACAAUUUUUUAUUAUUAUUUUAUUUUAAGGUUUCGAAAGAAAAGUAACUUAACUAUGGAUAAGCUGAAAUUGUGAUAAAGUUCUAAAUUUUAAAUAACAAAUGAAGUUUUUUUUUUGGAAAUAUAAAAAAAAAUUAUUUAUUUUCUUUCAAUAUUAAGUUUUUAUAAAUUUAUAAGUUUUUAUAACACACCAUUUUACCUUUUUGAAGUUUAGCAUACUUCUUAUUCAUUAAAUAUUUCAAUGACAUGUUUGACAUGAGCACCAAGAGGACCUUUUCCUAUGCUGUUGAUAAACUGAAACCGCUCGGUGUCAUGGAGAAGUUGACAGAAGGAGGCGCCUGUUAGAUAGACCAACUCCGACCACCACCACCGCCAAGGCGCUAAGUAAAGUUCUCUCCCCUCCGCCUCCAAGUGAUUCCUCCCGCCGCCAUUAGUGGCUGAAGCUUUGGCUAUGGAUAUUUUCCUUAUAUCUUCAACAGUGGCGUAGCCCUUACGCGUAUUAUUCAUCAUCCCUCUGAUAUGCUUCCUCUUCAAUAAGAAGACGACCCAGAGAAAACAGAGGCGGUUCUACUUUUAGACGGUGGAAGUAAUACAAUAAACUUAAGUGAGAGGAUGAUGUUCAUGGCCUCCCAGAACCGGAGCAACUGCACUUGAACGGUGGAGGAGGAGCGUCCGGUCUGUAAUUCAGAGUGAAAGAUCAAAGCGUUGGCCAUAUCUCAGAACAUAAGUUCACAGUGUUGUAUUGACGGAUUGAAAAUAUGGUUUCCCGAGUAGAAAGGACUAACCUUUUUAUACAUGCAGCUACACAGCCUUGCAGGAUUGAAGCUUGCAUUUAAGACAGAUCAUGGGUGAUGGAUUAAUGGAGGGUUUUCAGAAGAUGAAUAUGUAACAGGUAUCCUUUCAGAUUGUAAGAAAGAAGAUGAACAAUCGCGUUUGAAAUCCUAGGGUAAGAGACGCACUCUGUUUCUUCGGCCCCCAUCCCACACAAAUUGCUUAA
rnacentral:lncRNA from 1 species